rnacentral:lncRNA from 1 species
UUUAGAAUCUGUCUUUUUUAUAUUGUACAGAUGUGAAUAAAUGCCCUUUGUGAAAAUGAAACAUAAAGGAAAACAUUCAUGCUUUCAAAGUGAACCAGUCUGGGAUAUUUGCUUUAUUGAGUAAUUUAGAAAUUUGUGAGUCUUCUGCCUUGUCUUCUGUUCACAUUUAGAGAAUGCAAAUGUAUUUAACAACCUGACUGAGUUACAGCAGAAGAAAAGGAAAAUUUCAGGGACUGUGACCACACGUCUGCCCAUUGCCAGAUACAGUUCUGUAGGGCUCUUGUGCACUGCAGCAGUUUUUCUGCUUGUAGAGAUGUUUGCUGGAAUGGCAAGAACUGGAGAAAUGGACUUGAUCCUCAAAUCCUGGCCCACAGGCCGAUAUCGCACCCUGCAGCUGAUCCUCCAGGAGUAAAGGUGAUAGAAGCCUCUGAUCCUCCUAAUUGCACCACAAAUUUUGAAAAGAAAAAUAUUAAGAUGAGAGAGCAAUCAAGCUCACUACCUGCAUGUUACAUCCAAGAGUAAUCAUGGAAUUAGUUAUAUGUCAAAUUUGACUUCAAAAUUGUAAAGAAACAGAAUAUGCUUAUUUUGAGAGCUUUGGCAACCUAAAUAUCUAGAAGAAAACAUUAGAUCCACACUUGAGAAGUUUUUGGACUACAACUCUAUUCCAAAUAAGAGAACAAGUCACCCUUUUCUGUUGAAUGUAAAGUGACUUGGAAUUGAAUCACAUUUAGUCUUCUUGUUAUCAACUGAAUGUAAGUUAUUUUUUUU